UACGUAGGUGGCAAGCGUUGUCCGGAUUUAGCUGGGCGUAAAGCGCACGUAGGCGGCUUCUAAGUCGGGGGUGAAACUCCUGGAGCUCAACUCCAGAACUGCCUUCGAUACUGGAAAGCUCGAGUCCGGGAGAGGUGAGUGGAACUGCGAGUGUAGAGGUGAAAUUCGUAGAUAUUCGCAAGAACACCAGUGGCGAAGGCGGCUCACUGGCCCGGUACUGACGCUGAGGUGCGAAAGCGUGGGGAGCAAACAGGAUUAGAACC
rnacentral:rRNA from 1 species